AGGACGAACGCUGGCGGCGUGCUUAACACAUGCAAGUCGAACGGUAAGGCCUUUCGGGGUACACGAGUGGCGAACGGGUGAGUAACACGUGGGUGAUCUGCCCUGCACUUUGGGAUAAGCCUGGGAAACUGGGUCUAAUACCGAAUAUGACCGCGCCAUGCAUGUGGUGUGGUGGAAAGCUUUUGCGGUGUGGGAUGGGCCCGCGGCCUAUCAGCUUGUUGGCGGGGUGAUGGCCUACCAAGGCGACGACGGGUA
rnacentral:rRNA from 1 species